CUUCGUUCAACCCAAAGUCUUUAACAUGACCUGCCGUCUCGAUUCUUCUCAUCAGACUUCUGCAAAUACCUUGCGAGUGGACUGCAGUGGUCGUCGACCAAGUAUUCUUCCUCUGACGUUGUUGAGGUCUCUGUUCAGUACUGCUAAGAAAAAAAUCCGUUAGUUCUCGAUCUUCUUCUUGUAUUUUGCACUAUCUCUUCUUCCAUACUUAGAUUGAGUUCCUGCCAUAAAGAAACCAUCUCCAUGUAAUAUUCUGUAAAUUCUCUCGAUCCUUGCUUUGCCUACCACAGCCGGGUUUUAAUUUCAAAAAUUUGGGCUGAGUUUUCUGCGUCGGAAUAAGUUUCCUUCACGGUGUCCCAAACAUCUUUCGCCAUUGGAAGGAACAGAUAAGUCUUCCCUAUGGACGGCUCCAUGUAAUUUACGAGCCACGCUGUUACCAUAGAGUUCUCAGACUUCCACUUUUGGAGAAGGACACCAUCGUUUGGCUUCUUUGUAUCACCUGUAAGGUAUCCUAAUUUUCCCUUUCCGUCGAUUACUAACUUUAUAGAUUGAGCCCAUUCCCUAAAAUUCCUUCCAUUCAAUUUCUCUACUGUAAGUUGGAAGGAGGAAUUUUCGGUAACAUUGGAACCUAUAGAAGAAUUGAUCUCUGCCUCGGGAUAAGAAGUUUCAGAGGUUGAUGAUUCUUUGCCGUUGAUCGAAAAUUUAGCCAUUGAGCGUUAGGUUAGACGAGUCUAGCUCUAAUACCAUGAAGAGAAAUAAGAAUGUCUUUAUUCCCUUGAUAUAUUGAACGUCCCUAAUUACAAUCUACUUAUACUACACAAGAUGAAGAAAAAAAGGAAAUAAUAAUAAUAAUCUUCGAAGAAAUGAAACAAAUCAUCCUACCAAUUAUUCUAAUAUUACAUCUCUAAAUAUUUACACUUUCCUUCCUAGUCAUUCUCGGUUUCCUACAGUUAAUUAUUAGUAUAAUUUUACAUGUAUUAAAAUUUUUUAUAUACUAUUAUCUAUUUUCCUAAUAAAACAAUAGUUGUCAACUAGCAACACGGUUUUAUAUGUAUUAAAAGAUUAAAUACUGUUGUUUGUUUCCAAUAAUAAAAUUAUAGUUGUCAAUUCAUUAAAAAUUCUAGUUUUCAACUAUUUAAUACUAUAUAUAUAUACUUUCAAUAACAAUCGUAAACUGUGCAGUUAUUUAUUAUCUUAAAACUUUUACUUUCUUUGAAAUUUUUAAUUAAGAAAUAUUAUGUAUUUUCAAUAAGUUAUUGAUAAUAACAAUAGUUAUAUUUAUGUUAGGGGCGAACGAGGUUCGAUUUGGGCGGUUUGUUUUAUAUUUUCAACUCAAACCAUUUUAUGCAGUUUGAAAUUGUUUCAAACCAAUCCAAACCAUUUCAUUUUUCGAGCCAACCCAAACCAAACCAAACCAAACCAUAAAUUACCAUUUUAUGCAGUUUGAAAUUGUUUCAAACCAAUCCAAACCAUUUCAUUUUUCGAACCAACCCAAACCAAACCAUAAUUUAUGGUUUGGUUCGGUUUUAAUCCACGGAUUACCUUUCGACAGUAUAGUAAUGUAUUUAACAUAAAUUAAAUAUAAGUUUAAACGAGAACUAAUAAUGUUAAAUGUUAAAUUACAUUCAUAUUUACUAUGAAACCCAUGAAUAAAUUAUUUUCAAAGUUGGUUGCUAAAAGAUGUUAAUAGAACAAAUAAAUAUUUCUUCAUUUUUAUUUAUCUUUUCUUGUUUGACAUUCAUAUUGUCAUUUAGCGGUUGGUAAAUAUAAAGUUACAUUCUGUUAUUAUAGUUUGGUUAAAACUCAUUUUGUUUUUCUAGUGAGAUAUUAAAUAAGGAUUGAACGGGAUAUGUUUAGAUUUACAAAGAUUGAUAGAGUUUCGAUUCAUUGGGAAUUGAUCCUCUAACUACUUAAUGAAAGUAGGUAGUAACAUUAGUUUGGGAACUUUAACAUUUUCACACAAUCAAUACGCUUUAUUAUUCGUUCUUUUCAAAUCAUAAACAAGUUCAUUAAUUAUCUAAGCGUACAAACAAUCAUUUUCUAUCAAAAUCACAAUCCACAAGUUUAUAAUAAGUUCAAAAAAAAAAAACAAAUAAAAGAAAGAAUAAUAAAAAAGGGCUUGAAUAAGAAUCUAAAACUUACCGUUAGAGGAGAAAAAGAGUCAAUUCAAGUAGAGAUUAGUAAAUUAACAGGCAAAGGCGAUUGGCGAUUCGUUCGGCAGUGGCAGACAAACGUCAAAUGUUAGAGAAAUAAAAGUUUAUAUUUGAAACUUUGGAUAUGAUUUGUUGACGUAGUUUUGUUGAAUUAUGAUUUAGAUUGCUGAAAAUAUAUAUAUAUUUUUUUUUUUAUUUCAUAUGAUUUUGGAAUAAUUUUAGUUUAGUUUAGAUAUCAGGUGAGGAUGUUUUGUGAACCUUUUAAAUCAUUGACUAAUAAUGAUGAACUUAAUUUACUUUUUAUGAUUAUUUCAAUAGGCUGGUUGUAAUUUGUAUUAUUAAAUUAGUAUUUUUUUUAAAAGUGAAAACUGUAAAAUUUUUAAGCCACUAAAAUUAAUUUUUUAAUUAAAAAUUUAAAAACGGUUUGGUUCGAUUUUGUGCGAUUUUUGAAAAUCAAAACAUAAACCAAACAAUUUUGAAACGGCUUGAAGGAAAAGAAAUCAUGAGUCCACAUAGACCCGAACUAAUGAUUUCAACUCAACGGUUUCAAUUCGGCUUGCAGUUUCGCGAUUUUUUGUGCGGCUCUAAUUUAUGUAAAAUAGUUUAAAACCAACAAAAACUCUUCUUCAGACAUCAUAAGGUAUUUGAUAUGUAUAUAAAAUUUUUAAAAUAUAAAAAUAUAAAAUAAUUAAAAAAACCCUUUUGCUACCUAUUAGCAGGGCCGAUCUUGCUAUGAGGCAAAUGAGGCUGGGGCCUUAGGCCCAAAAUCUAAGGAGGCCUAUUUUUUGCCCAAAGAUUUUUUUUAUUAUUAUUUUUUUAAUAAAUAUAGAGGAUCCAUUCCGUUCAUUAUUUUCUUCUAGCCCCAAAAUCGGAUGGGCCUAUUUUUGGCCCAACUUUUUUAUUUUUAUUUUUUAAAAUGAGGAAAAUUGGAUUUUAUAUUUCAUUCCUCCUCUCCUCUGUGACGACUACGACGUUCAACUCGACCUCCACCUCCAAUCCUACUCCAAGAAUCAUUGAACCGACGACGGAGACUCGAUGUUGGCAUCAUUUCCUUAGUCGACCCUACUUAUCUUCUUCGUGCCAGUUCCCAAAUACCUCUUCCUUCCCUUCACUCUUCACAAAUCACAAGAACAAGAAGUCACCUAUUUUCAACCCUAAAGGCCUAAUUUAUUGCCUUCUUUUAGUGUUUGUUACCUCUCUUUCUUGUGCCGAUCGUCAAUUUAUUGUCUGUCCUCUUCAAUUUGAUCAUGGUAUGUUUAUUAUGUAAUUAGUUUUUUCUUGUCAAGAUUCUUGACAGAGUAAACUCUCAGAAAAAUUACAAUUUCUCUUACUUAGCCUGUGUAUGUGGUUUUAUUUCAGGUAGAUUGAUGUUAAUAAGGGCCUUUGACUACAAUUAUCUCAAUUAGAGUGUUGUUGUCUUGCCGAUGAAGGUUUGCCUCAUUUUUCCUUUGGUCAUGCUUUCCAACUCUUGUGUUUCUUCUAUUUUAUUACUAUUGAAAAAAUAAAAACAUAUAUUGAUUAGCAAAGAUGUUAUUAUAUGUCAAUUGUCCUAUUGCUAAUGAUAUAUUUGAUGAACUGCUAAAUCCUAAAUGGAGCCAUAACAUUAGUACAUAAAUCAUACUUAGCAGUCUAGUAACCAGAUUGUUGUUUUCCUUAACUUGUGCUCAUGUUCAAUCGUAUGUUAUUUGAAGACCUUAUGUACAUGGUUGGUGCAAUAGAUAUUUUAGGUUUGUUGUUUUUGUGAGAUAUGUCAGUAGUAAGGUGAACAAUAUCAACUGGAAUGAAUUUUGUCCAUGGUUUGGUUUGGUUUCCACUUUUGGUUUUGUAUUGGUGGUUGAUGCCAAAUUCUUAUUUCAGGUUUGUAAAUUGUGACGGUAGAAUUCUCAACGACGUGAUUUCGUCAUUUUCGUUGAAAUUCUACUUCUCAAGUAAGUAAUGACUUACCCUAACUUGUUAUUAAAUAUAUUGAAAAUGUUUGAAAUCUUGUCGCUUAUAUAUUAUAGCCUGGUUGGCUUAUAUGAUUGGUUAUUGUAGGAUCAAUUGCACAAGCGAACAUAGUAAAUAUAUUGAAAACUUUAAUUAUGAAAUGAUUGAGAUAUUUUGUGAAAAGAAGUUUCUCCAAUUGAAGUUAAUCAAGACUUACCUCCGAUCAACUAUGUCACAAGAAAGAUUGAACAGAUUAGCUAUAUUAUCAAUAGAAAAAAAAUUGGUUGAAUAAGUAAAUUAUUCAGAUUUGAUUAAUGUUUUUGUCUCUAAAAUAGCAAGGCAAUUGGUAUUUAAAUGAUUAUUUGAAACGUUGUUAGUUUUGUUAUUUUAUAAUAUAAACUUUUUGUAUAAUAUAUUUAUUUGUUGUUUUACUAUCAAGUUUUAAGUUAGCGAUAUGUUGUAUAAUACACAAUAGGUUUUGUUGGAUUUCGCAUUUAAGUUGAUUUUGGAGGACCUAAUUUUGGAGUUCGCCUCAGGCCCCAAAAUCAUAAGACCGGCACUGCCUAUUAGAGAGUAUCCAAUUGGACACGGAUUCGUAAUAAGUUUACAAGUAUCCAUGCUUCUUAGCCGUGGGUUACAUUGCAUGUUGGUUUUGUUGUUUUACUAGCUUUAAUUCUCAACCGAUUUUGUUUCAUUUCCAUUUUUUUGUGUGGAAUUGAAAUUUGUACUUCUAUUUUUCAUUUAUGUUAUGCCUUGAAAUAAGUUUUUGACCUUUGUGGCUGUGAUUCCUGGAGACUUGUGUCAUUUCUUAAGCAUAUGUUGCUUGUCUUUUGUUGGAUAUGAGUGAUACAUCUGCUGAUGGUCUUAUCUAUGCAGAUUCAUAAUUGACAAAGAGAGACCUAAAGUACUCGAGAUAAUAAAGAGAAAUGAGAAAAGGGACCAUAAAAUCAAUGACUUCUUGCUUACAUAUUUGUGUAUGCCACUCGAGAAGUUUCUAAUUCCACUUUGCUCUUGGAUAACCUUCAAAUCCUAAGGAAUACUGUUUUUUUAUGAGUUUUUGCUUUAAAGCUUUGGCCUUACAACGGACAACCAACACAGACUUGGCAUGGUGUAUAAAAUGAUUACAACACCACAGAACUUCAAUAUCUUUUUUGUUUCGUCUGUAAGCUUGAUUUGCUAAUGUUGUAUACUAUCCAGUUAAAGAAAGAAUCUAAAGCUUAUAGUUGGCGAAAGAAAUCAUCCUCGAAGAAGCAAAGCUUUUAAAAGUUAUUACUGGUGUGGUGAAAAUGCCCAACAAAUGAUAAUGUGAGGUUUUUGAAUGUUGGGGCCAACCAAAGACAGUUUUGAAGUUACUGAUGCUGAUGAAUCUGUCCACUGCUCAGAGCCUAGCCUUAAAGUUUGUGGAUCAACGUAUCAUAAUUUUUUCGGGAAAUUCUGAAAAUGAUGCAGGUAAAGGUCAUGCUUCAGUUGUCAGAUGUUUUUGAGAGCGGUUCUCUUUCUUCAUCACUCUGAGAGAAAUGUUGUUUUGAUAAUUUGAAGUUGAAUAUUUGGAGUUCCAUGAUGUACUAAAUUGGCAGGCUUCUUUUUUUCGGAUCGGUAAAUGUAAAUAUCAUUGAUAAAAAAUGUUUCAUAUACAAGUACAUCGGGCAUUCCUGGACGAAUCAAAAGCCAAUGUCACAUACAAUUACUCCGGGCAUACCUGGGAGAGACAAAAGAAAGUGAAAUGCAUAAAAGAUCAAUGACCCAAUGCCAAGGAUUCGAAAUGGAUCAAGAUAUCCGGAUAUAAGGUAAACAAAACCUUGUAUACAUGUGUCUUGAUCUGUCUAACAAUGCAAUCCAAGUCGGGUGAGUGGUCUUCGAAAAUCUUCCUAUUCCUUGUAAGCCAAAUGUAGAAUACGGUGUUUGCAAGAGCAAUCCUCUUCGACUUACUUAGGCAGCCUUGAAGUCCCACAUGCCUCAUUUUUCAACCACUUAAGAGCACUAGCAAGUGUUGACAUAGAUCUCGUAAUGUCGAGCCAUCGCCUAAUAUUCCUCCAUAAGGUAGAUGUGAAGGAACACUUAAAAAAAAGAUGGUCGCAAGUUUCCACAAAAUGCCCACGAAAAACACACUUGCGAUCAAUAUCCAAAAAAGCAGUUUGUCUUUAGUUAGGAGCUUUGAUUGGGCCCCUAACCAAAGCAUAAAAGAAUGCUUCGAUGUGAUGCAAGGUUUCCAAACUUCGGCUCCCCAAGUCUUGAAAGUGCCCUUAGGCCUAAAGAAAUUAUAGGCAAUUUUUGUGCUGAAUUUAUCACUUGUAGAACAGCGCAGAUUUCUGUUGAAAAUUUCCAGAAACUACCUACCGAAUGAAGGAAUCUGCCCGCCUGUAGUUCUGUCCAAAUUCUGCCCAGUUAUCCCCCAGUUCUGUGCAUUCCCAACAAUAUAAUUUCGGCCAGAAACAGCAUGCCGAGAAG
rnacentral:lncRNA from 1 species